rnacentral:rRNA from 1 species
AACGUAGGAGACAAACGUUAUCCGGAAUUACUGGGCGUAAAGCGCACGUAGGCGGAUUGUUAAGUUAGGGGUGAAAUCCCAGGGCUCAACCCUGGAACUGCCUUUAAUACUGGCAAUCUCGAGUCCGAGAGAGGUGAGUGGAAUUCCGAGUGUAGAGGUGAAAUUCGUAGAUAUUCGGAGGAACACCAGUGGCGAAGGCGGCUCACUGGCUCGGUACUGACGCUGAGGUGCGAAAGCGUGGGGAGCAAACAGG